GGGCGUAUAGUCUAGUUGGUUAUGGCGCUCGCUUAGCAUGCGAGAGGUCUCCGGUUCAAUUCCGGAUUCGUCCA
rfam:Sugiyamaella lignohabitans strain CBS 10342 chromosome A, complete sequence.